rnacentral:rRNA from 1 species
UACGUAGGGUGCAAGCGUUAAUCGGAAUUAUUGGGCGUAAAGGGCUCGUAGGCGGUUCGUCACGUCGGGAGUGAAAACUCGGAGCUUAACUCCGAGCCUGCUUCCGAUACGGGCAGACUAGAGGUAGGCAGGGGAGAGCGGAACUCCUGGUGUAGCGGUGGAAUGCGCAGAUAUCAGGAAGAACACCGGUGGCGAAGGCGGCUCUCUGGGCCUUACCUGACGCUGAGGAGCGAAAGCGUGGGUAGCGAACAGG